AGAGUUUGACCCUGGCUCAGGACGAACGCUGGCGGCGUGCUAAUGCAUGCAAGUCGAGCGGGCUACGAUCUUCGGAUUGUAGCUUAGCGGCGAACGGGUGAGUAACACGUAGGUAAUCUACCCUUCAGAGGAGGACAACCUCAGGAAACUGAGGCUAAACCUUCAUACGUUCACUGGUAGGGAUACUGGUGAAGAAAGAGUUACCUUAGUGGUAGCUGCUGAAGGAUGAGCCUGCGGCCCAUCAGGUAGUUGGUGAGGUAACGGCUCACCAAGCCGAAGACGGGUAACCGGUCUGAGAGGAUGUCCGGUCACACUGGGACUGAGACACGGCCCAGACUCCUACGGGAGGCAGCAGCAGGGAAUCUUGGGCAAUGGGCGAAAGCCUGACCCAGCGACGCCGCGUGGAGGAAGAAGUCCUUCGGGGCGUAAACUCCUGGACUGGGGGACGAGGAAGGACGGUACCCCAGUAGAAAGGGACGGCUAACUACGUGCCAGCAGCCGCGGUAAAACGUAGGUCCCGAGCGUUGUUCGGAUUCACUGGGUGUAAAGGGCGCGUAGGUGGUUGUCUGUGUCUCAUGUGAAAACUCAGGGCUCAACUCUGAGAUUGCGUGGGAAACUAGGCAGCUAGAGGACGGUAGAGGGGAGUGGAAUUCCCGGUGUAGCGGUAAAAUGCGUAGAUAUCGGGAGGAACACCGGUGGCGAAGGCGGCUCUCUGGGCCGAUCCUGACGCUGAGGCGCGAAAGCUAGGGGAGCGAACCGGAUUAGAUACCCGGGUAGUCCUAGCCGUAAACGAUGAACACUAGGUGUAGGGGGUAUCGACCCCUCCUGUGCCGCAGCUAACGCAUUAAGUGUUCCGCCUGGGGAGUACGGCCGCAAGGUUGAAACUCAAAUGAAUUGACGG
rnacentral:rRNA from 1 species